ACUAAAACAUUUUAAACUUUAACCGAAAGGUUUGAUUUCCCAGAUUUUGAAUUUUAAAGUCAGAUCUGCAAGCAAUGCUGAUUGGCUGUCACUUAUGGUUACAUCAGUUUUCUCACAAAAACACAUGUGAUUAAUGUCUUUGUUUUCAAAUCCCAACCGAUCUUAUGAUUGAUUAAUAAUGUUUACUUUUAUUUUCCUGAAUUUUCCUCACUUACUCAAUUAAUUAAGCAUCGUUAUUAUGGUAAGUCAAUUCAUUUCAUUUAUAUUCCUUUCUUUUUCGUAGUUGAUUUGAGAUUGGUUUGCUUCCAAGACAAUGGAUGAUUUAAUCUGUUUGGUUUUUAGUCAAAUAUUUGCCUCUUCAUUUCUUUGUUAACCUCCAAGUUGAUACUUCACGUAGCUUUUUAUCAAAUCAACCAAAUAAUCAGUAAUGAUACAAUAUGGUUUGGUGAAUAACUAAUCAAUCUUAUUCAUUUUGUGCUGACAUUUUUAAUCUCUAGGUGCAACAUUUUUUCAUAGAUAUUCAGCCUGGAGGCCUACUUUCACCAUGGAAUGUAAUUUUCCUCUUUACAUCUCAACCCAUACUGUUGUCUUUGUUUGGCUUUUUAACCGCCGUUGAAUCAUUACUCUCAUCUCUAUAAUCAACGUAUGGCUACAAUUUGAUGCUGGUGGUAUAUUCAACUAACCAUCAUUGUGAUACACACAAUAUGAGGUCAUCAUUGAAUGAAAUUUUACAAAUUUCAGUAGUUGAUGCUAUAUUUGUGUAAUAAUGGAUUGUAAAAUCUACAGAGGAAAGGAUAACAUCAGAAGCGAGCAAAUAAAUUCAAUUAGAAUAGUUGCUGAUAUAAAAACGGCUGAGCUAUCGAAACAAUAUACCAGAUUCAGGCUGGAACAAGGAUCUUAAUUGAGCUUUGGUUUUUGUUUUUAACUCGCAAUUAUCUUUCAAAAACAAAUAUCAACAAGUCAGAACCUAAACGAUGUUUUGAGCAAAAAUGGCUAAAUAUUAAUCAAUUAAAAAGGAAGGACAAGGACUCGAUUAUAUGGAUUUGAAUGAUUCACUGUUGACGUACAUUCAGUUUCGGGGAUAUUCCAACUAAACAAUCAACAUCAAUUAGCCUUGAAAGGCGUCCAUUUAGCUGAUUUCUUUGAUUCUGUGUAGCUUAUGAAUUCGAUAUCAUCACCCAUUCAUCUGUUUUACCUUCCAAAUAUCUUCAGUUCAGGUUAAUCACGUUUUGUUACUUAAACAUUUGUUUUGCCAUUUCAAAGCGAUAUAUCAUAAAAUUAUUGCUGGUGUUUCUCAAGUGGAAGGUGACUCAUUCAUGGCUAAAUUCAUCAGAGGCAAUCAAUAUUUCAAGUUGGAGCUUGAUGGUAAAUACUUGAUGUCAUUAUGCUGGUUGAUUUAAAUAAACUCACCUUCACUUGCUCUCAACUGUUCAUCUGACCAUUGCCUCCAGUUUUCCCUGUUUGAGGUAUCCGAAACUUUUGGCAUAAUAUCUCGACUUGCACCGAUUCUAAGGCCUUUUUGAGUGGCAAAUUUAUUUGUUCCAUAUUGAGCCGGAAUGAUUG